CGGCGAAUGCCGGAAAGGACUACACUUCGAAUGUGGGGGUCGCGGGUUCGAAUCCCGCUUGUCCGG
rnacentral:tRNA from 2 species